rnacentral:lncRNA from 1 species
GUACUGAUUGACAAUUUAGUCUAAGAUGCAUGAUUUUUUUUAUUAGUUGUUACCGACUUUGACCUAGCUGUCAGUAACUACGAGUACUCUCAGAUCUGUGCUAAGUGUCUUUAUGAUCUGUGCUAAGCGUCUUUUUGUUGUUGGGAUGUACAAGUACCCGGCCACGUCCACUUGUAUUUGUAGUAUUUGUAUUUCUUCAAUCCAUCUAAUGAGUUAAGCCUUUUUCAACUGAUUUUUAUAAUUCGUUCUUAUAUUGUAGUGAAUUGUACUGUUAUACCACUGUCCAAGGUAAGGUGAAGGUUGAGAUCCCGCUAUCAUGUUUAACCGUACCAUAUUCUUUAUGUAUGUUUCUGUCCCAAGUCAGGGGCCAUAUCUCGUAUCUCAGUAGUUGUCGCUUGUUUAUGUGUUACAUCUUUAUUUUUCCUUUCUUUUUUUAUACAUAAACUAGGCCGUUAGUUUUCUCGUUUGAAUUGUUUUACAUUGUCAUUUUGACCAUUUCUGCGUUUUUAUAGCUGACUAUGCGGUAUGGGAUUUGCUCAUUGUUGAAGGCCGUACGGUGACCUAUAAUUUCUGUGUUAUUUGGUCUCUAGUGGAAAGUUGUCUCAUUGACAAUCACACCACAUCUCCGACUUCUUUAUAUCAGAUAGUUACAAUAAGCG